UAUUUUAGUCAUGGUGGCCUUUUAGCCAUGACUUUUUAAAAGGUGUUUUAAUUAUGGUUUUGUUUUGUUUUUAUUCCUGCUGCUUUAUUAAUGUUGUAGGCUUUUUUCUUUUCUUUUUACUACAGACUGUAUUGCAUCUUUUGUUCUAUUAAUUGCAUGAAGUUAUGGUUAAACUGUUACUUUGUAAGCCGCUUUGAGAGGGUUUUUACUCAAAAGGUCAGCCUAUAAAUGUUUAAAAUGAAAAUAAAUAAAUAUAUUUAUAUUUAGUGCAAAUAGUUAUUUUGUUUUGUUUCAUAAGUUAUGCACAGCUUGAAUGUAAAAAAAAAAACCUCGAUGCAAUAAAAUCAAGAGUAAAAUACAACCCUACUCUGAAACACACAAGUUGAAAUACAAAAACAGAUUAAAAUUACCUCAGCUUUCUAAAUCUGGGUGUAGUGUGCUGUAUAUGCUUUUGCAGCAUAACUAUAUGCAUAGCUGUCAACUUUUCCCUUUUUUUAAGGGAAAUCCCCUUAUUCCGAAUAGGAUUCCUUGCGAGAAAAGGGAAAAGUUGAUAGCUAUGACUAUAUGCAAUUAAACAGACAUGUGCAUGUGACAGUCACAAAUGACACAGGUGUUGUGAUGUUCCAUCUACACAGAGUAUUAUGUUCCCACAAGCUAUCUGGACCCUGAAUAAAUAGAUUCACCCUAAUGCAACUUGAAGUAUGCAAAAAUACCUAAAUGAGAAGGAAGCAUAGCUGCCAAGUUAUCCCUUUUUUAAAGGGAUUUUCCCUUAUGCUGAAUAGGCUUCCUCGUGAGAAAAGGGAAAACUUGGCAGCUAUGGAAGGAAGGCAAAAAGUGAAAGGCAGCAGAAUGUGAGAAGCGGUAGUUCAACAACAAGACAGCAGAUAAGGGUUAUUUCCACACCAGCUUUAUCGGUCUGGAACUGCUGUUUCACUCCCAAAGAGGCCACGCUGCAUUACAACAAUUUUGCAUGCCAGUUACUGCUUUCAGUUCUGUUUUUGUGUGUGUGCUGCUGGUUUGCCUGCUUCUGAGGAGAAUGAAAGCACAUGUGUGUCUUGGGUGGACUGACGAAGAGCUCACUUCCUACACAAGGUCCUUGGUGCAGCAGCCACUGGGAGCACAGCUCUUAAUGGGGAGAAGGAGGGCGGGGCUUUCCUUCCUGCAAUUGGGCAGCUUCUUCUGGUCCCCGCAAGGCUUUCCCGCCAUUUCUGUGCCUUCCAGCAGAACCCGAGGGGUUUAGAACUGCUAUAAUAAAGGAGGGAGUCAGCUUUGCAAGGUUCUUCCUGUAGCCCCUUUUGCAGGCUUUCUAGCUGAAAGGACAAGAGUUGGCCAUUAGAGGCAGCUGAGAGGAGGGCCAGCUUCUUCACUCAGCAACACCAGAACAGAUGGAACGAUGAGGAUGAGUUGAAUGUCUGUGUUGAGCAGUAGCUCCAUGAAUUCUGCUGUUGUACCUAUGGACCUUUGGCUUAGGGGAAGAACAGCAUGCAAGGCAGCCUUCACCCUAUGCGGGCUGCUCAGUACUGGACAGCAUGGUGGGGGUGGCGGAGCUUACCUGAGCUCCAGUCAGUUGCGUUGAUGCAAAUGUACUGUCAAGGACCCUGGAUUUCACCAUACCAAGCGUCCCACUGCAUUUUCCCUCUAGCUUCUGAGAUCCAGCUCACCUUGAAGUCCAUUUCCAUUUGCACUGGUGCAAGAUGGUGGAGGAGAAGCUUGGGGCCUGACAACAGGAGCAAAGGCGCUCUUUUGUUUCACUGCAGAGAUGACAUUGGC